rnacentral:lncRNA from 1 species
CCCUGUUGGACUGUGAGUUCUUGCAGUCUAGUAAAGAGGGCAGGUAAUUCGAUAAAGGGUUAAAAGCCACUGUAAAUGUAGGAUUAGAGGAAUGUAGGCAGACGGUGAUGGGGACGUGGACAUGGGGCUGAUGGAGCACCCAACUGCCCAGCUGUGGGCUGACAGGAUAGUGUGGGUGGUUGAGGGUUGAGCUGGCUUUUGAAGUGUACAGAGAAUUCGCCAGCCAGAUAAGAGCGGAACGCAUCUGAGAGUGAAAAGAUUAUGCAAAGGCUCAGGCGUAUAAAAGAACCAUGUCACAUUCAGGAACUCUGAGGAGUGAGGAGUAGCAAGAGAGCAGUGGGUACUUGGAGCAAAUACGAUUGGAGACAAGGCUGGUGAGGCAGGCGGGAGAAAGCAGGGCUCAGUGUGCCCUGUACUGGAAUCUGCUCUUGCUCUGGGUUGAAGAUAGCAAGUGCAUCUCUGGGCAACUACUGCAGCUGGCUGUGGGGGACUGAUGCAUACUGUUGAGGCUGAUCUUACUCUGUCUCCUCUCUAUAUCUCUAUUAAGAGAAAAAUACAAAGAAUAAAUGAGUAAGGCUCUUGAAACCAUUGAAUUGUACAAACUUUGGUGGUUUUAAAUCUGGAUUUGUGAAUAGCUGAGCCCGUUCACUGUCCCAUUUUGGAGAACCAUGAGGCAUUCUACAAUCUAGCCCUUCUCCAGGUGGAUGCUUACCUGUCCGCCCAACCACAUUUAUCUGAUUCUUCAGGGACCCGCUGACUGAGGCAAUCAUGAUCUGGUACUGCUCCCCGGCCUCCAGUCUGUGGAACGUGUGCUCAAAGACGUGCUUGGGAAUAGUCUGAGAGUCAACCUUUUGACUGUGCCUGAAUGCCGACACCGUGUAGGAAUCAACGUCUCCCCCACCAGGAGUCCAGUUCACCGUCAGGCUAUCUGUUGCUCCAUUGGGAGAAAUGUGAAUAUUUUUGACAGCACUAGGAACUAAAACAGAAAAUAAAUUUAAAAGUCAUCACUUAGAGAAUGAACUGUUGAAAUUUUCAAACAAAGUUUUGAAUGCUUCUGAUGUUUUGGCACCCACUGAGAGAACUCACAUGAAAAAGAAAGUAACAAUUUGCCACUUUUCUCUGAUUUUUCUGUGUGAACUAAAGUUGAUGGGGGAAAGCUUAGGGGGAAGUCAAAGCCGGUUGGACAACAUCAUUGUCACUAUCAACAUGACUUUGUCCCUUCUUGCUGUCUCCCUUUUAUCCCUCCAAAUGCUCAAUCGAAAUACCUGAACUACCCGAAAGUUAAAUGCACCACUGCAUCUAUUCAGGUUCAAGAACAGUAUUUCACAUUACCUGUGAAGCCCUCAAUGAAGGCUGACUGCUGUACAUCCCCGCUAAUCGUCAAGACAAGAAUUUUGUAUUGGCGGCCUGGUGUUAGGGAAGUAAAUCGAUACUCGGUUGCGGUAUUUACAAGGUGAAAAGGAGGAAAUACUUUCAUGUCAUUGAAGAGCAGCUGGAUCUCAUAUUGGUCGACAUCCCCAUUAGCUCCUGACCAAGUCACAUGCAAGUCCUCAGUGCUCCUGUUGCGCAAUGUUAGAUCCUUAACAGGCUCUGGAACUAGGGAGAAAAAUGAGAAGACAUUUCAGGAAAGGAACUGAUCAGAGUUUACCUACAUAAUAAUUUAUGAAUCACAUUCAAGGAACUGGCAACAUCUCCCUUCCCCAAAUAAACCACUAGCACUACUUCAUGCAUAAUUAAACAAGAAAAAUUGGAAGCAACUAUUAACAUUGUGGUUUUUUCCUGACAUAAAUGUUACAUGAUCAGCAUUGGUAGAACAUAAUUAUAAAAUGAGUUAUGAUCUCAAUCAUAAGAUAAAACAAGAAGUCUAGAAUCUAAAUGCCAUGAUGCAGGAAGAUAGGGAAGAAAAAUGGGACAUUUAGCCUUCUUGCUCCCUCACUAUGUUUGCUUUUAUCUACCAAUAAAUAUUCUGUAAUUAUAGGCCAUGGCUUGGCUGAAUGAUGUUAGCACCAAGUGAGACUUACUGGGAAUGUAAUGUACUAAUGAAUAAGCAGAAAAAAUUCAAGGUUCAGAUAAAUUACUAGAGACUUUCAAGUCCAACCAACUGUCAGAUUUUGCAAUCGUUC